AUGAACGCUAGCGGGAGGCCUAACACAUGCAAGCCGAGCGGUAUUUGUUCUUCGGGACAGAGAGAGCGGCGUACGGGUGCGGAACACGUGUGCAACCUGCCUUUAUCAGGGGGAUAGCCUUUCGAAAGGAAGAUUAAUACCCCAUAAUAUUUAGAAUGGCAUCAUUUUAAAUUGAAAACUCCGGUGGAUAAAGAUGGGCACGCGCAAGAUUAGAUAGUUGGUGAGGUAACGGCUCACCAAGUCAGUGAUCUUUAGGGGGCCUGAGAGGGUGAUCCCCCACACUGGUACUGAGACACGGACCAGACUCCUACGGGAGGCAGCAGUGAGGAAUAUUGGACAAUGGGUUAGCGCCUGAUCCAGCCAUCCCGCGUGAAGGACGACGGCCCUAUGGGUUGUAAACUUCUUUUGUACAGGGAUAAACCUACUCUCGUGAGAGUAGCUGAAGGUACUGUACGAAUAAGCACCGGCUAACUCCGUGCCAGCAGCCGCGGUAAUACGGAGGGUGCAAGCGUUAUCCGGAUUUAUUGGGUUUAAAGGGUCCGUAGGCGGGCCUGUAAGUCAGUGGUGAAAUCUCAUAGCUUAACUAUGAAACUGCCAUUGAUACUGCAGGUCUUGAGUAAGGUAGAAGUAGCUGGAAUAAGUAGUGUAGCGGUGAAAUGCAUAGAUAUUACUUAGAACACCAAUUGCGAAGGCAGGUUACUAUGUCUUAACUGACGCUGAUGGACGAAAGCGUGGGGAGCGAACAGGAUUAGAUACCCUGGUAGUCCACGCCGUAAACGAUGCUAACUCGUUUUUGGGUUUUCGGAUUCAGAGACUAAGCGAAAGUGAUAAGUUAGCCACCUGGGGAGUACGUUCGCAAGAAUGAAACUCAAAGGAAUUGACGGGGGCCCGCACAAGCGGUGGAUUAUGUGGUUUAAUUCGAUGAUACGCGAGGAACCUUACCAAGGCUUAAAUGGGAAUUGACAGGCUUAGAAAUAGGCUUUUCUUCGGACAAUUUUCAAGGUGCUGCAUGGUUGUCGUCAGCUCGUGCCGUGAGGUGUUAGGUUAAGUCCUGCAACGAGCGCAACCCCUGUCACUAGUUGCCAUCAUUAAGUUGGGGACUCUAGUGAGACUGCCUACGCAAGUAGAGAGGAAGGUGGGGAUGACGUCAAAUCAUCACGGCCCUUACGCCUUGGGCCACACACGUAAUACAAUGGCCGGUACAGAGGGCAGCUACCUAGCGAUAGGAUGCAAAUCUCGAAAGCCGGUCUCAGUUCGGAUUGGAGUCUGCAACUCGACUCUAUGAAGCUGGAAUCGCUAGUAAUCGCGCAUCAGCCAUGGCGCGGUGAAUACGUUCCCGGGCCUUGUACACACCGCCCGUCAAGCCAUGGAAGUCUGGGGUACCUGAAGUCGGUGACCGUAACAGGAGCUGCCUAGGGUAAAACAGGUAACUAGGGCUAAGUCGUAACAAGGUAGCCGUACCGGAAGGUGCGGCUGGAACAUCUCAUUUU
rnacentral:rRNA from 1 species